AGCGAACGCUGGCGGCAGGCCUAACACAUGCAAGUCGAACGAACUCUUCGGAGUUAGUGGCGGACGGGUGAGUAACACGUGGGAACGUGCCUUUAGGUUCGGAAUAACUCAGGGAAACUUGUGCUAAUACCGAAUGUGCCCUUCGGGGGAAAGAUUUAUCGCCUUUAGAGCGGCCCGCGUCUGAUUAGCUAGUUGGUGAGGUAAAGGCUCACCAAGGCGACGAUCAGUAGCUGGUCUGAGAGGAUGAUCAGCCACAUUGGGACUGAGACACGGCCCAAACUCGUCCGGGAGGCAGCAGUGGGGAAUCUUGCGCAAUGGGCGAAAGCCUGAAGCAGCCAUGCCGCGUGAAUGAUGAAGGUCUUAGGAUUGUAAAAUUCUUUCACCGAGGACGAUAAUGACGGUACCCGGAGAAGAAGCCCCGGCUAACUUCGUGCCAGCCGCCGCCGUAA
rnacentral:rRNA from 1 species